rnacentral:rRNA from 1 species
CCUGCCCAGUGACUAACGUUCAACGGCCGCGGUAUCCUACCCGUGCAAAGGUAGCAUAAUCAUUUGCCCAUUAAUUGUGGGCUAGAAUGAACGGAUUAGCGAAAUAAAGACUGUCUCUAUAAGACGUUUAAAAAUUAAUCUCUAACUGAAGACUGUUAGAUAAAAUCGAAGGACAAGAAGACCCUAUAGAGCUUUAUCCUAUAAAAAAAUUAAAAUUCUUUUACGGAUUUGGUUGGGGCGACCGGGGAAAAUAUUUAUCAUCCCCAUUUAAUAGAUAUAUAAAUCUCAAUUAUGACCCUUAGCAAAGAUCACAAGACUAAGCUACCUUAGGGAUAACAGGCUAAUCUCACUAAAGAGUCCUUAUCAAUAGUGAGGUUUGGCACCUCGAUGUUGGCUUAGGGAAUCUAUGUGACGCAAAAGUCAUAUGAAGAUGGUUUGUUCAACCAAUAAUUCCCUACAUGAGCUGAGUUCAGACCGGCGUAAGCCAGGUUAGUUUCUAUCCUCGAUAUAAUGACCUAUUUAUAGUACGAAAGGACCUAAAUAAGGAUAAUAAUUAUACAUAAAGAAUAAAUAUAACAUAAAUUUAAAUAUAUUUUCCAUAAAAUA